UGAACGCUAGCGGCAGGCCUAAUACAUGCAAGUCGAACGGUAACAUUGGUGCUUGCACCAGAUGACGAGUGGCGCACGGGUGCGUAACGCGUAUGCAAUCUACCUUUUACUAGAGUAUAGCCCAGAGAAAUUUGGAUUAAUCCUCUAUAAUAUCUUUUAAUUUCAUGAUUUUAAGAUUAAAGUUUUAACGGUAAAAGAUGAGCAUGCGUCCUAUUAGUUUGUAGGUGAGGUAACGGCUCACCUAGACUACGAUAGGUAGGGGCCCUGAGAGGGGGAUCCCCCACACUGGUACUGAGACACGGACCAGACUCCUACGGGAGGCAGCAGUAAGGAAUAUUGGACAAUGGACGAAAGUCUGAUCCAGCCAUGCCGCGUGCAGGAUGAAAGCCCUACGGGUUGUAAACUGCUUUUAUACAGGAAGAAACACUCCGACGUGUCGGAGCUUGACGGUACUGUAAGAAUAAGGAUCGGC
rnacentral:rRNA from 1 species